rnacentral:rRNA from 1 species
UACGUAGGUGGCAAGCGUUAAUCGGAAUUACUGGGCGUAAAGCGCACGCAGGCGGUCAAUUAAGUUAGAUGUGAAAGCCCCGGGCUCAACCUGGGAAUUGCAUUUAAAACUGUCCAGCUAGAGUCUUGUAGAGGGGGGUAGAAUUCCAGGUGUAGCGGUGAAAUGCUUAGAGAUCUGGAGGAAUACCGGUGGCGAAGGCGGCCCCCUGGACAAAGACUGACGCUCAGGUGCGAAAGCGUGGGGAGCAAACAGG